CUUUUACCUGGUCUGAAAACCAAUUUUAAUUGUGGUGUUUAGGCCAUUUACACUUAACAUAAUUAUAAAUAUUGUGUUUCAGUCCACCAUCUUGCUAUUUGUUUUGUAGUUGAUUCACCUGUUCUUUGAGUUUUUUUCCCCCAUUCUUUUUCUGCUUUUCUCCAGAUUGACGGAAUAAUUUUAAAAUGAUUUCCUUGUAUCUCCACAAUGGACGUUUUCUCUAUGUCACUUGUUUUGCUUUGUUUUAGGUGGUGGUUCUAGAGAUCACACUAUGCAUUCUUACCUUAUAAUUGUCUUUCCCCCAAUAAUAUAUCACUGCAUGCAAAGUGUAAGAGCCUUACGACAUUAUAUUUCCAUUUCCCCACUGUUUACUCCCACCCAUAUUAACAGAAUCAGGGUGGAGCAUGUAGCAUAUGACCACCAAAAAUGCACAGAAAAAUACAUGACAAAAUAUUAAGACUCAUUUAUGGUAAAACCUUGUAGCAAACUAGGAAUAAAGGGCAGCUCUUCAAUUUAACAAAGUACAUCUAUGAAAAACCUACAACUAACAACUUGUUAAAGACUGAAUGCUUCCUCCCUGGGAUCAGAAAUAUGUAGAUAAUCCU
rnacentral:lncRNA from 1 species